GAUGAACGCUGGCGGCGUGCCUAAUACAUGCAAGUCGAGCGAACGGACGAGAAGCUUGCUUCUCUGAUGUUAGCGGCGGACGGGUGAGUAACACGUGGAUAACCUACCUAUAAGACUGGGAUAACUUCGGGAAACCGUAUCUAAUACCGGAGAAUAUUUUGAACCGCAUGGUUCAAAAGUGAAAGACGGUCUUGCCGUCACUUAGAGAUGGAUCCGCGCUGGAUUAGCUAGUUGGUAAGGUAACGGCUUACCAAGGCAACGAUGCAUAGCUGACCUGAGAGGGUGAUCGGCCACACUGGAACUGAGACACGGUCCAGACUCCUACGGGAGGCAGCAGUAGGGAAUCUUCCGCAAUGGGCGCAAGCCUGACGGAGCAACGCCGCGUGAGUGAUGAAGGUCUUCGGAUCGUAAAACUCUGUUAUUAGGGAAGAACAUAUGUGUAAGUAACUGUGCACAUCUUGACGGUACCUAAUCAGAAAGCCACGGCUAACUACGUG
rnacentral:rRNA from 1 species